rnacentral:rRNA from 1 species
GACGAACGCUGGCGGCGUGCUUAACACAUGCAAGUCGAGCGGUAAGGCUCCUUCGGGAGUACACGAGCGGCGAACGGGUGAGUAACACGUGAGCAAUCUGCCCUUCACUUCGGGAUAACUCCGGGAAACCGGAGCUAAUACCGAAUACGACCACCUCAGGCAUCUGAUGGUGGUGGAAAGUUCCGGCGGUGAAGGAUGAGCUCGCGGCCUAUCAGCUUGUUGGUGGGGUAACGGCCCACCAAGGCAACGACGGGUAGCCGGCCUGGGAGGGUGGCCGGCCACACUGGGACUGAGACACGGCCCAGACUCCUACGGGAGGCAGCAGUGGGGAAUAUUGGACAAUGGGCGAAAGCCUGAUCCAGCAACGCCGCGUGAGGGAUGACUGCCUUCGGGUUGUAAACCUCUUUCAGCAGGGACGAAGCGCAAGUGACGGUACCUGCAGAAGAAGCACCGGCCAACUACGUGCCAGCAGCCGCCGUAAAAC